rnacentral:rRNA from 1 species
UACGUAGGGUGCGAGCGUUGUCCGGAAUUAUUGGGCGUAAAGGGCUCGUAGGCGGUCUGUCACGUCGGGAGUGAAAACACGGGGCUUAACCCCGUGCCUGCUUCCGAUACGGGCAGACUAGAGGUAUGCAGGGGAGAACGGAAUUCCUGGUGUAGCGGUGAAAUGCGCAGAUAUCAGGAGGAACACCGAUGGCGAAGGCAGCUCGCUGGGACGGUACUGACGCUGAGGCGCGAAAGCGUGGGGAGCAAACAGG